CGACUAACAUUUCGUUUUUAGAAAAGCCACUUUCGCAAAGUGUACCACUACGCUUGUGACGAUAAUAAAACAACUCACUUAUGACCGCAAACACCGCAACUGCCUGGUUACAUGUUAAAGAAGUGGACAUGUAUUAUAAAAUAUGAAGACUAAGAACAUGCUUGGGUGCAUGUUUUAACUGCAUACCCUGCUCCAAACGCUAAAGGGCAACUCCCCCGGAAGCAUCAACCCAGAAUAUUCAGUACCUUAACCUGGAUGCAUUCCUCACAAGUCCUCAUAUAUUCUUUCCCCUCGCUGGUAAAGAGACAUUAAGUUUGUGCUCACUGUCCAGGCCCGCCUUUGAAAGAAAACAUCUGUUACUAUUCCUGCAUUAUAGCAACGGUGGUAGAUCCACACCAUUUAUAAAUCAUUUACUUUAUAUCUAGUACUGUAUGUCAUCUCUCACCUAGACUGGAAAAUCCCCAGUGGCACAUACUGGGAGAGCUGACAUGGCAACUGAAGUCUCAUGGUUUCAUUAUAUGUAAGUCUCGCUCCAGUAUCCACACUGGAAGACUAUGGUGAGCAGGGUAAUGAGGGAGGCUGCCUGGGGACUGGUGAGAAGGUCACAUCUCUGGAGGGAGCGUGUGGUGUUUGAGUCUUCAAGCAGCAUGGGAGCCUCUAAUGAUGCAGGCAUUUUUAAACGCUCCCUAACGUUCCAUUUGUGCUUAGCUAGUCCUGCUGAGUAGCUGUUCUGUUUAUCUGCAUGUGCUUGGUAGAAUUCUUUUACAUAACAUGUGAAUAAAUUAUGGAUAAUGAUCUGUUUUGCAUGGUACUAUUUAAAGGGAUAGUUCACCCCAAAAUGAAAAUUCUCUCAUCAUUUACAUACCCUCAUGCCACCCCAGAUGUGUAUGACUUUCUUUCUUCGGCAGAACACAAACAAAUUUUUAGAAGAAUAUCUCAGCUCUGUUGGUCCAAAAUAUACAAGUGAAUGGUGGCCAGAACUUUGAAGGUCCAAAAAACAUAUAAAGGCAUCAUAAAAGUUGUCCAUACUCCAGUGGUUAAAUACAUGUCUUCAGAAGCGAUAUGAUAGGUGUUGGUGAAAAACAGACCAAUAUUUAAGUCAUAUUUUACUAUAAAUCUCCACUUUCACUUUCUUCUUUUGUUUUUGGCGAUUCACAUUCUUUGUGUUUAUCGCAACCUACAGGGCAGUGAGUACAUUUAUAGUAAAAAAGGACUUAAAUAUUGAUAUCUUUCUCACCCACAACUAUCAUAUUACUUCAGAAGACAUGGAUAAAACCACUGGAGUCAUAUGCAUUCCUUUUAUGCUGCCUUUUUUUCUUUUUUGGAGCUUCAAAGUUCUGGCCACCAUUCAAUUUCAUUGUUCGUUUGUGUUUUGCAGAAGAAAGAAAGUCAUACAGAUUUGGGAUUACAUGAGGGUGAGUUAAUGAUGAGAGAAUUUUCAUUUUUGUGUGAAUUAUCCCUUAAAGAAUUUAUGAAUAGUCCUGAGAUGACUUAAAAAAAGCUUAAAUCCUCAAAUUAAUGGAUUGACACCCAUGAUGUCUUCAGUUUGGUAUUAUUAUAGAUUUCCCAUUAAAAGUACAACAAUAGCUAAGUAAAAGGAAAUUGUAAAUAAUUUAUUACAUAAUUCUACCACAGGCAUGUAAUCCACAAUCCAUGCUAACUCAAAGAGAAUAAUACAGACAUUUGAAGAUAUUUAUUAAUUAACUGAUUUGUUUUCAUAAUUAAAAUCCUGCUUACUAGCUGAACAGAUUUUUGUAUUUUUAUCACAUUCCCUCAAAAUACAGAGACAACCAGAUGUUUUUGUACACUCUUGCUAGAUAUCACACACAUCUUUCAGUACAGCUGUCUAUUUUUCAACAAUGACAAAAUUACUCAAUAUCCUCCUUCUUAGGCAAAUGCUAAGAAAAUUACAUGGCCUGUUGGGAAAAUGUAUUAAUUCACUGAUUUACCUCUACUUUUGAACCGCUCAAUCAGGCAAAUUUAACUUUUCUCCAGGACAAAGUUUUCCCAAGGUUGUUGAGUUGAAUAAAUGUUUGAUAGCUCAUAUUAAUGAGGUAACUAAUGCAAUUAGGCAAUUAAUUGAGCCUUGGGGUGCAAACAUAGACAUGGCAGUGCAAAUCAAGCAGCAUGUGAAUGUAUUUACUCCUUUUAAGAAGAUUUCUGAAUGGAUGUUGUAAUUGUCUCAUAUUUGGUCAUUUGUCCUUUAGUCAGUUAUUGAUAAUAUACAUAUACUGUACAUAAUGGGGUAACACCACAAAAUAGAUAUGCAAAUUAACUCAGCUGUUUAGUUAAUUAAUUUUUGUAAUGUGUGGAGUUACCACAAACAUCAGAGAGAUUGCUAUUCAUUUAAUAAAGAACAGCUGGCCCUUUAUUUUACAGUAUCUGUUACUCAUAGUACGUUACUAUUAUUAGUAUUAACAAUAACAAUUUGUAAGUACAAACAGCUCAACAACACAUUAAGUAUGAUGUCUAAUAGUAUUAGUUAUUGCUUAUUUAAAUACACUGUAACUUGAACACUGUACAAUAAAGUGUAACCAAAUUGUUUAAGAGCAAGUUGGCAUCCAGAACAUACUCUACAGUUGACUUGUCAGUCUCCUCAUGAAAAGGAACCCUCAAAUGUCAGUAUCAGUGUGUCAUCCAGUAUGCUUUCUGACAUCAUACUGAAUCAGGAAAUAUUUGACAUCAUAUUUAAUUUCACUCCAAGUAAAAUUGCAACAUUACCAAAUUAAAUAAUCAACUAUUGACUUUUCCAUCCAGUUACUUCACAUCUCCUCACACCUCAUCUCUGAACCAUCACAUUAUCUCAACAUGAGCUUGAAUGUGACCAAUCUCAUGAGCUCUUUAAUUGUGGCCCUCUCACACCAUAACUUGGUCUUGAGUCAUGGCAGACAGCUAUCGGCGUGGGUUACUGCCAGUUUGACAGCAGUAAAAAAAUAACAGCACCUCUGGCUGGCUGCGACUUCCAGCUCUCGGCCGCAGGGUCCCUGCAGGCCUGCUGUGGCAAAGAGAGACAGAGAGACUUGUUUCAAACAGGGUGGGAGAUGAUGAAGUGAAAUACAAGCAGAAAGACAGCCCUUCCAGUAUUGAGGAAAAUAAUGGCAGAGAUUGGAUCAAGAUCAGCAUAAUUAAAAGCGUUAUUUACAACUUUGCUGGGCCAGCAAACCAAUGAUUGCUUAAGAUUAAAGGGAUAGUUCCUUAAAAAAUGAAAAUCCAUUGUACACAAAAGGAGAUGUUUAGGCAGAAUGUUAGCCUCAGUCACCACUCACUUUCAUUGCGUUUUUUUUUUUUUCCAUACAAUGAAAAUGAAUGGUGACUGAGCCUGUCAGUCCCUAACUUUUUGCCUAACAUUUCCUUUCAUGUUCCACAAAAGAAAGUAAAUCAUACAGGUUUGGAAUGACAUGAGGGUGAGUAAAUGAUGAGAUAAUUUUUAUUUUUAGGUUAACUAUCCCUUUAAAAUAUGCUGCAUGCAUAAUAAGUAUAAACAAAUUAGCAAAAUGUAAGCUGUCUGAUUUUUUCUUCUUUGCCCUGUGGAAAACAAAAGGCUAUAUAUAGCAAAAUGCUGCUCUUUUGCAUACAAUGAACAUUGACAGUGACAUGUGACUGUCAAGUUCCAAAAAGGAUGCAAACAAAAGCACUAUCCACUGCAGUUUUUAUUUUAUUUUUUUAUUUUUUUAUUAUUGUGCAUGAAUAAAACUCAUGAUGAGAGAUUAUUACAGCAAGCUGUUUUCUGAAUGAUUCCUACUUGUGGACUGCAAAUAUGUAAACAAUAACAAGAGAUCAUACCUCAAUAAAG